GACGAACGCUGGCGGCGUGCCUAAUACAUGCAAGUAGAACGCACAGUUUAUACCGUAGCUUGCUACACCAUAGACUGUGAGUUGCGAACGGGUGAGUAACGCGUAGGUAACCUGCCUGGUAGCGGGGGAUAACUAUUGGAAACGAUAGCUAAUACCGCAUAAUAUUAAUUAUUGCAUGAUAAUUAAUUGAAAGGUGCAAUUGCACCACUACCAGAUGGACCUGCGUUGUAUUAGCUAGUAGGUGAGGUAACGGCUCACCUAGGCGACGAUACAUAGCCGACCUGAGAGGGUGAUCGGCCACACUGGGACUGAGACACGGCCCAGACUCCUACGGGAGGCAGCAGUAGGGAAUCUUCGGCAAUGGACGAAAGUCUGACCGAGCAACGCCGCGGGAGUGAAGAAGGUUUUCGGAUCGUAAAGCUCUGUUGUAAGAGAAGAACGGGUGUGAGAGUGGAAAGUUCACACAGUGACGGUAUCUUACCAGAAAGGGACGGCUAACUACGUG
rnacentral:rRNA from 1 species